rnacentral:rRNA from 1 species
UACGUAGGGAGCAAGCGUUUGUCCGGAAUCAUUGGGCGUAAAGCGCGCGUAGGCGGCCCCUGUAAGUCCGUUUGUGAAAAGUCAAAAGGCUCAACCUUUUGAAAGCCGAUGGAUACUGCAGGGCUAGAGUCCGGAAGAGGCGAGUGGAAUUCCUGGUGUAGCGGUGGAAUGCGCAGAUAUCAGGAGGAACACCAAUAGCGAAGGCAGCUCGCUGGGACGGUACUGAGCUAAGGCGCGAAAGCGUGGGGGAGCGAACAGG